rnacentral:lncRNA from 1 species
GAGGACCAUCGUAGGAGGUAAGCCUCUUGGAAAGCAGUUUUGUGAAGUUACAGUGGAACAUGUGAUAAGAAGGGAUGCACUUUUGCCUCGCCCAUAUGAUCAUAUGGAGAGUAUGGCUGGGGCUUAUAUGAUGUCAAUUGCAUGGUCGUACGAGCGAAUAAGAAAUUACACCUAAUGUUAUUUUUUUUUGCUUUUGAUGAGUGUUUAGUGUUCCUAAUUGAUUUACUCUAUAUAGCUAAAGCCUUGCAACAAUUCAUCUGGAUCUUCCAAAGUUACACCAGGUAUUUUGAGCCCCUUUAUGAUUCUUCAUUUGAGCUGUACAUAUGUCUGCUCACUGCUGCUAUUUUAGCAGCCACAUCUCGAAUAAUAUAUAGGUAGUACAUAUAGUUGUACAUAUGCUGCUGCAACAUAUAGCUGAAUAUAUGAUGUUGCUGCUGCUAGCCACAUCUAGAAUGGUAUAUUGUGUGCUGUACAUAUAGCUGAAGGUUUUCUAUAAAAUGUUAAAUAGAUGUACAUAUGUUGUUAUUUUCUAAGAUAUGUUGCUGAUGAGAUUGCAAAUAGUUGUACAUAUUUUAGUUCAAAUUGCAAAUAGCUGUACAUAUUUUAGCAUAUGCUGCUAUUUUAUGAAAAAACAUAUAGCUGAGAUUGAGAUGCUACCAAUUUUUUAAGAGCACAAGCCAGUAUUGCCAACAUGCCUAAAAGUAUUAGCAAAUUUCAUUGCAUUGCCAUCUGAGAUUGCAAAUAGCUCAGAUAUAGACCUACAGUUCCUGAUUAGUGUACUACUAUACUUUCAAUCAAUUUAGGUUGGGAGAUCCCCUACAGUUCUUCUAGUUAUUAAUGAUCAAAUUGAUGUUAAUUUAUUUUUCAGGUAGCAUUGGGCGCCACUAGCUGCUUACAAAUGAAUGGGAUGCCAAAUUUUGCGCAACUACUGCAUUUGGAUCCAAGUAUUUCUUUUGUUUUAUGAGCUUUUGGAACAACUUGUGGACUUUACUCGUUGGGAGGGCAAGAACCUGUUGUUGGGUCCAUACAUCUCUUUUUGGUUGCUAUGUCUAUCAAAGUGAUUGUUUACUGCAAACAAUCUAGUAUAGCUCCCAUUUAUGUUUUAUGACUUGGUGUAAAUUGGAUAUGCUGCCAUGUAUGUACUUGUGCUUAAUUUAUGACUUGGUGCAAUUGUCCAAGACAACUAUAUUCAUGUCAUAUGGAGAUCCAUGUAUUUGGGGACUAAAUUUAUGGAGAUGAACGUGAUAUGAUGGAUCUUUGAUUAGUCAAAUGC